CUGGGAAACCUGUGCCAGUGCCUCACCACCCUCACAGGAGAGAAUUUCUUCCAAAUAUCUAAUCUCAACCUGCCCUCUGAGAGUUUUAAACCAUUCUGCCUUGUCCUGUCACUACAUGUUCUUGUAAAUAGUCUCUCUCCAUCUUUCCUGCAGGUGCUGAAAGCUGCAAUUAGGUCAGCCCUGAUCACCUUCAUGGGCUCUUCUGGAUUUGCUCCAGCAGUUCUGUGUCCUUCCUGUGCUGUGACCCCAGAGCUGGAUGUUGCACUGCAGGGUUCAGAUCCUGAUUUUUAACAUGCAAGACGGAAAGAGGUUGGGAUUUUAUAUGGGACUGAAGACAUUUCUUUUGGAUCUUUGGAAGAAAAAAAUGCUCUCCAUCUUCAUAGCAAAAAGGAUCAAUGCUGAAAUACAUAAGAAGAGAGGCUGUCCUGGAAAAGUGAGAAAGAGUGUGCAGAAAGAAACUAUGCCCAGAUGAAUCCACUGUGCCCUGUUUGGCAUAAAACAUAGGAGAAGCACAAAGGAGAUAUCAAUAUUUUGCUUCUGCUUUUUUUAAAGGAAAUAAAAUCCUAAUGAAAUAGAAC
rnacentral:lncRNA from 13 species